UACGGAGGAUGCGAGCGUUAUCCGGAUUUAUUGGGUUUAAAGGGUGCGCAGGCGGCACGGCAAGCCGGCGGUCAAAUCGCGGGGCUCAACCCCGCCCAGCCGUCGGAACUGCCGGGCUAGAGUGGGCGAGAAGUGCGCGGAAUGCGUGGUGUAGCGGUGAAAUGCAUAGAUAUCGCGCAGAACUCCGAUUGCGAAGGCAGCGUACCGGCGCCACACUGACGCUGAGGCACGAAAGCGUGGGGAUCGAACAGG
rnacentral:rRNA from 1 species